CACACGUGCUACAAUGGUCGGUACAAAGGGUUGCCAAGCCGCGAGGUGGAGCUAAUCCCAUAAAACCGAUCGUAGUCCGGAUCGCAGUCUGCAACUCGACUGCGUGAAGUCGGAAUCGCUAGUAAUCGUGAAUCAGAAUGUCACGGUGAAUACGUUCCCGGGCCUUGUACACACCGCCCGUCACACCAUGGGAGUGGGUUGCUCCAGAAGUAGCUAGUCUAACCGCAAGGGGGACGGUUACCACGGAGUGAUUCAUGACUGGGGUGAAGUCGUAACAAGGUAGCCGUAGGGGAACCUGCGGUUG
rnacentral:rRNA from 1 species